GGAAGUGCCUAGGUCACUGGUGGGCCUCCCGGGCUUCAAACCCGGUGUGACGUGUGAGAAGCGCGUCAGGUGGGUUCGAUUCCCAUGCACUUCCGCCA
rnacentral:tRNA from 1 species